rnacentral:tRNA from 1 species
GGCCGCAUGGCCCAAUGGUCAAGGCGCUUGACUACGAUUGAUAUCGAAAUCAAGAGAUUCCAGGUUCGACUCCUGGUGUGGUCG